CCAGUCUCCUCACCUCCCUUUUUCCAAAACACCUCUAUUUCCUUUUGUCUCAUCCGAGAGUAUGACUGACCGCCUCCAUUCCUUCCAUGGAUUUCCUCCAUUUUUUUCUCUGAAAAAAAGAAAAGAAACAGACUAACAACACACCGCAUCUAUUCUCCCUUUCUUCUAUAUUUUUCCCCUCUUUUAAAGAUUAUUCAAAAAAAAUGAUGCUCAAAACGCACCUUUUAUUCUCUCUCUUUUUUUGCCCUUUUUGCUCCUUACUCUGAGAUAGGAGAACCUCGAAAAUUUGGUCGAUCUUGUUUGCUCAACUGCUCACAUUUGGAUUUUCUUUUUCUGUUUCUGAUCUCCAUUCCUUUUCCUCAUAAACCUAUGAUUUUUUCCCUCUUUCUACACAGAAAAAUUUCUAUUUUCUCUCAAUUAUUUUUCUCUUUAUUGGGACAUAAUUACCUUGGAGAUCUUUCUUAUCUGAUUUAUUUUCGAUCCGUUGAUCUCGCCAUUUUUUAGUUUCAAAAUUUUCCUUAUUUUGACUGAUUUUCUUUAUUCUCUAAGCAAUUUCAUGUUUGUUUCAGGGUGCAAGUUUAAGGUUUGCAUUUUAUUAUCUGGUAUCUUCAAUCUCUACAGAACCCGCCAGGUUUAAAAAAACACAAGGAAGGCCACUGAAGGAGGAAUUACAGGUGCAAGUUUAAGGUUUGCUUUUUAUUAUCUGGUAUCUUCAAUCUCUACAGAACCCGCCAGGUAAAAAAAACACAAGGAAGGCCAUUGAAGGAGGAAUUACAGUUCUCUUUGUGAACUCUUUACCCUUUCUUCCAUAUUUUUCUUGCACGAUGAGGUGGAAUAGUUACAAGCUAUCAAAAUGUAUCGCUUCAAGAGGUGGAAACAUUCUCAAUUCUGAUAUUUUUGUAUCGAGCACAAGAAUGUAUAGAAGGAAGAAAGAUGAUAGCACCUACCUUUCAUUUUUUUCUGUUCUAUAGAGAAUUCAACUCGGACAUAUAAUUGCUUGUACACUUGCUGUUCGGCUUGUAGUUUUGCUUGUUUCCUUUUUCUAGAGAUGUUAGUCUUGUUUUUGUUUUUUCAGUUUUUGGUUAUUUGUCAACCUUAUUGAUGGGUUGCAAGAUUUACUUUUCUUUUUUUUUUUAUCAGCUCAGUAGUGGCAAGGAGAGUAAACUAAUUUGUUUUCUUAGGUAAUUUGUAGUUUGCCUUUUGUUGGAACUUUAUUUUGGUUGGCAAUGUCAACCUAGCAAGUUACCAGUGCCACAGGUAAUGAAGCCAUCCAUUUGUUACAAAAUAAAAUGGGUAUA